rnacentral:rRNA from 1 species
GACAGGACGCCAGUCUUGUCGGAGUCGCUGUUGGGAUACCACCCUUGUGGUACUGGAUUUCUAACCAACCUCCGUGACCCGGAGGUGGGACAAUGUCAGGUGGGGAGUUUGACUGGGGCGGUCGCCUCCGAAAGGGUAUCGGAGGCGCUCAAAGGUUCCCUCAGAAUGGUUGGAAACCAUUCAAAGAGUGCAAAGGCAGAAGGGAGCUUGACUGCGAGACCGACGGGUCGAGCAGGUACGAAAGUAGGACUUAGUGAUCCGGUGGUAGAAAGUGGGAUUGCCAUCGCUCAACGGAUAAAAGCUACCCUGGGGAUAACAGGCUUAUCACUCCCAAGAGUUCACAUCGACGGAGUGGUUUGGCACCUCGAUGUCGGCUCAUCGCAUCCUGGGGCUGAAGUAGGUCCCAAGGGUUGGGCUGUUCGCCCAUUAAAGCGGUACGCGAGCUGGGUUCAGAACGUCGUGAGACAGUUCGGUCCCUAUCCGGCGCGGGCGUAGGAUAUUUGAGAGGAGCUGCCCUUAGUACGAGAGGACCGGGGUGGACUGGCCUCUGGUGUAUCUGUUGAGCUAUCAAGCUCAUGGCAGAGUAGCCAAGCCGGGACGGGAUAAACGCUGAAGGCAUCUAAGCGUGAAGCCCCCCUCAAGAUGAGAUAUCCCAUACGCAAGUAGUAAGACCCCUUGAAGACGACGAGGUAGAUAGGGCAGAGGUGGAAGCGUAGUAAUACGUGAAGCUGACUGUUACUAAUCGGUCGAGGGCUUAACCAAAA